rnacentral:rRNA from 1 species
AGAGUUUGAUCAUGGCUCAGAACGAACGCUGGCGGCAGGCCUAACACAUGCAAGUCGAGCGCCCCCGCAAGGGGGAGCGGCGGACGGGUGAGUAACGCGUGGGAAUUUUCCUCAAGGUACGGAACAACUCAGGGAAACUUGGGCUAAUACCGUAUGAUGUCUAGCGACCAAAGAUUUAUCGCCUUGGGAUAAGCCCGCGUCAGAUUAGGUAGUUGGUGGGGUAACGGCCUACCAAGCCUGCGAUCUGUAGCUGGUCUGAGAGGACGAUCAGCCACACUGGGACUGAGACACGGCCCAGACUCCUACGGGAGGCAGCAGUGGGGAAUCUUGCGCAAUGGGCGAAAGCCUGACGCAGCCAUGCCGCGUGAAUGAUGAAGGUCUUAGGAUUGUAAAGUUCUUUCGCCCGUGACGAUGAUGACGGUAACGGAGAAGAG